AAAAAUCCAAUAGAUCAAGUAAUAGUUAAGUGGGAGAGAAACGGAGAAGUCAAACUUUUUAUUGCACUUUAUAUUAGAACCUCUAUCAAAUAAGCUGCAAAGAUGGUUAGAAGUAUUGAAAUCUAUACUACAAAUGAACAAAAGCAGAAUCAACUCGUGACAAUCUUCCACUAUAUCCUAUUAGUCAGUGUGUAUGACAAAUAUAUAACAUUGCCCAAAACAAAGGGCAGCUCUCAAUGACCAAAGCGAGAAAAAAAUUUCUACACAUCUUUCUGCCAAAGAAUCUAACUCUUCCAUGUGGAGAAAAAAACCGAGAAUGGAGUGUAUCUGAAAACAGCUUAAUUGGCUACAGGCACACCUUGCUCACCAAGUUGAUGAGGGAAAGCAACCUCUCCAGCAGCAGCGACAUGCCUGCGCUGCCGCUCACGAAGGUAAAGCACUGUUAGAAGGCAUACAAAUAGGGUAAGAAUUGUGGCAUUUCCUUCCUCCAUAAUGACAUCCUCCAAAUGCAAAUAGAAGGCAUACAAAUAGGGUAAGAAUUGUUGCAUUUCCUUCCUCCAUUAUGACAUCCUCCACCAUGCUUCCACUUUGGGAUAAAAUUCUGGUAACGAAUCAAUUAUGUGAACCUACAUGAAAAGAAAACGCCAAUAAGGGGGCCAUAUCAAUAUAACUAACUUGUUUCAAGUGAAAAAGAUAUGAUAUUGUUAUAAAUUUUUCUACUAUUUCUUUCUCUCAAACUUUGACAUCAGUUACUACAGCCUCUCCACUGUGCAAAGUAAGCGACCGAUAAAAUUUUAGGAAGAGAAAGGUGGAAUAGAAUGUCAAGCACAAGUAGCACUGAAUUUCUACAUCAGUUAAAUCUGUCUAUUGUUACAUGUAAUCAAGGAAAUAAGAUGGAUCAGCAUUCCUCCUUGGUCCAAGCAAAGAUUUGCCUGCAAGCUGAGCAGCCCAACUAAAGAAAGC
rnacentral:lncRNA from 1 species